CCUGUUAUCUCUUCUCUACUGAGAAACGUUCUUGGGAACAAAGCAGACAAGACUGCACAGCCAGAGGAGCAGAUCUGAUGAUCGUAGACAGUGAGGAAGAACAGGAAUUCAUCACUAGCAUGAUCAAGGAACAAACUUGGAUUGGUUUGAAUGACACAAAAGAGGAGGGGAACUGGAAAUGGGUGGAUAGAUCUCCACUGAAUCUGACGUUUUGGAGCACAAGACAGCCUGAUAAUUUUGACGGAGAGGACUGUGCAGAAAUACGGAGUAUUGUUCACUCCAAAAGCUGGAACGACAGGCCCUGUACGUACGAU